rnacentral:rRNA from 1 species
ACAUCGGAACUUUAGUAUGCCUGGAGUGCCUUCAGGAAAUUGAGUGAGAGGUGCUGCGUGUGUGUCCUCCUCUCGUGUUGAGAAAUGUUGGGAUAACUCUCGCAACGAGCGCCCCCCCUAUCUACUGUUGCCCGCAUUAUGUUGGGCACUCUGACGAGACUGCCUGGGUUAACCCGGAGGAAGGUGGGGAUGACGUCAAGUCCUCAUGGCCCUUAUGUCUAGGGCUACACACGUAAUACAAUGGCGCGUACAAAGGGAAGCGAACUCGCAAGGGGGAGCAAAUCUCAAAAAGCGCACCUCAGUUCGGAUUGAAGUCUGCAACUCGACUUCAUGAAGUUGGAAUCGCUAGUAAUCGGAGAUCAACACGCUCCGGUGAAUACGUUCCCGGGUCUUGUACACACCGAA